rnacentral:rRNA from 1 species
GCAGCCGCCGCGGGAAUACGUAGGUGGCAAGCGUUGUCCGGAAUUAUUGGGCGUAAAGCGCGCGCAGGUGGUUUAAUAAGUCUGAUGUGAAAGCCCACGGCUCAACCGUGGAGGGUCAUUGGAAACUGUUAAACUUGAGUGCAGGAGAGAAAAGUGGAAUUCCUAGUGUAGCGGUGAAAUGCGUAGAGAUUAGGAGGAACACCAGUGGCGAAGGCGGCUUUUUGGCCUGUAACUGACACUGAGGCGCGAAAGCGUGGGGAGCGAACAGGAUUAGAUACCCGCGUAGUCCCUGUCUCUUAUAC